rnacentral:lncRNA from 1 species
GAAAACAUGUCUUUCACAACGACUUUAUCUUCAGGCACCCUACAGUUUACUUGAAGCACUAAAACAGCAUUUAGCUUCUUUGGAAGAGAAAGAGGACAGUUUGCCUCCUUACAGUCUCCAGCAUGCAUGGAUUCCCUCCAUCCCGAAUAAUCCAGUUGUGAAAACUUCAGCAAGUGGAUCUUGGUUUACAGCCUACAAACCUACUGGAGCCAGAAAGCAACAUGAAAAAACCGUGGCAAACAAUCUGGACAGAUCACUUGUUAGCCUUAUAGAAGGUAAGCAUCUAUUUCUAUUUUUAUUUAUUUAUUUAUUUUAAAGAUUUUAUUUAUUUAUUCAUGAGAGACACAGAGGCAGAGACACAGGCAGAGGAAGAAGCAGGCUCCCUGCGGGGAGCCCGAUGUGGGACUGGAUCCCAGGACCCUGGGGUCACACCCUGAGCCCAAGGCAGACGCUCAACCACUGAGCCACCAGGCGUCCCAAGCAUCUAUUUUUAUAUUAAUAUUUUAUACAAGUAUAUGUGUGUAUAUAUAUAUAUAUAUUUAAAAGCAUUUUAGAAAAAGUAUACAAAAAUAAUGUAAAAUUCGUUUGUUUUAUGAAACAGAUUUUAACCAUGGAGAACCCUCAGUCAAAAAGUAAGUUUUUAUAAUUUAAAAAUGACAGCCAAUAAUGCAU